CAGUAGCCGCGGUAAUACGUAGGUGGCAAGCGUUGUCCGGAAUUAUUGGGCGUAAAGGGCUCGCAGGCGGUUUCUUAAGUCUGAUGUGAAAGCCCCCGGCUCAACCAGGGAGGGUCAUUGGAAACUGGGAAACUUGAGUGCAGAAGAGGAGAGUGGAAUUCCACGUGUAGCGGUGAAAUGCGUAGAGAUGUGGAGGAACACCAGUGGCGAAGGCGACUCUCUGGUCUGUAACUGACGCUGAGGAGCGAAAGCGUGGGGAGCGGACAGGAUUAGAUACCCCCGUAGUCCCUGUCUCUUAUAC
rnacentral:rRNA from 1 species